UCAGACUGCAAAGGAGAUUUUUGAUUUUGCAAUGAAGGCAAUCAACCCACAGAUUGAUCAGAAGCGAUACGCAGUACCUCUAGCUGGGUUACAGUUGUUCAGCUGGCACUCUGCUCAGUUUGGAGCCUUGCUCCUGGACAACUAUGUGUCCCUCUAUGAAGUGAUGUGCAAGUGGUGUGCCCACACGCAUCAGGAGCUGAAGAAAGCCAGUUAUUCUGCACUAGAUUCGUUCCUC